GUCCCUUGCUCUUGAUUCUACAGGCCAGGGCGGCUGUCCCUGCUCUUGAUUCUACAGGCCAGGGCGGCUGUCCCGUGCUCUUGAUUCUACAGGCCAGGGCGGCUGUCCCGUGCUCUUGAUUCUACAGGCCAGGGCGGCUGUCCCUGCUCUUGAUUCUACAGGCGAAGGCGGCUGUCCCUUGCUCUUGAUUCUACAGGCCAGGGCGGCUGUCCCUGCUCUUGAAUCUACAGGCCAGGGCGGCUGUCCCUGCUCUUGAUUCUACAGGCCAGGGCGGCUGUCCCUGCUCUUGAUUCUACAGGCCAGGGCGGCUGUCUCUGCUCUUGAUUCUACAGGCCAGGGCGGCUGUCCCUGCUCUUGAUUCUACAGGCCAGGGCGGCUGUCCCGUGCACACUCACAAGUGAAACAACACUCUUCAGGGAGGCACCGCGCUCAGGCCGUCAACACCCUUCCCGCACCUCCCUCCUCCGGUGGUUCUGUCAAGCAGGGACACAGGGACGGAGGGGCCUUGGUCAUUUUGGUCCUGGCUGUUGAAGCCCCCAUGAGGCUGACCUGAGAGGCCAAAGUUGGACACCACGAUUGCCACAAAGGCCAUAGCUGCUUCUCCUUGACGGUCACCUCGACGUGCCAAUGUGGCCAAGCAGGCAGGCGCCAGCAACACCCACAAGACAGAUGCUGAUGGCCCGGGGACUCCCCUAGGCCACCCCUAGAUGGCGCCAUGGCCCAGGGCCACCAGGAGCCAUGGCUGCUGCAAAAGGAACGGGGAUGCCGGGAAAAGCCUGGGGACCACGUCACCCACCCACAGAGCCGGGGCCUCUAGAGCACCUUGCUCUUGAAUCAGAGGCUGCUCUGGGAUGCUCCUCCCGCUGGACGUCUGCGUCCCACCCAUCCUGCAGGCUCCGCACCCGGUUGCCCACGGUGCGCGUCAGAACAGGAUUCUCAGCAACAGUGAAGAGGAAAAGUGUAAGAAGACUAUGAAACAACGUCCCCAUGGAUACCAUUUAGACACAAACAGCGGCCUGUUCUCUAAGCACAGUCAGCCGAGUGUCUUGUUCCCAGCAAGCCACAGCCACUGACCACAUGGAGCCCUCUGACCACACAGGGCCCCAGGAUGUCACUCUGGAAAAGCUCCUUCCGGUGCUCUGAGCGUUCCCCUCUGGCAGCGUCUGGCUCUUCAUUCGUGGAUGCGGUAUCUCUGAUGACGCCAAUGAUGAGACAGAAGGAGAGUCAAAGCAUGAGAGGGACUUCACCCGCCAGUGCUGGCUCUGCAGAUGGGCAAGGGCCCUCCGUGAACAACGCAGGCGGCCUGGAGAAGCCGGGAAAGGCUCGGCUUGCACCCAGCAAGGUGCUACUGCCAGUCCUACCACCAGCAAGAACGGAAUUCUGCCAACCUCCCAACGAGCAAGAGAACAUCUUCCUGUAGGGCCUGCAAAAAGCAAAGCCCUGGCCAACACCUUGACUUCAGCCCAGGGAAACCCACACUGGACUGAGGACCGAGAGGACUGUGUGUCAGCCAACACCUUGACUUCAGCUCAGGGAAACCCACACUGGACUGAGGACCGAGAGGACUGCGUGUCAGCCAACACCUUGACUUCAGCCCAGGGAAACCCACACUGGACUGAGGACCGAGAGGACUGCGUGUCAGCCAACACCUUGACUUCAGCCCAGGGAAACCCACACUGGACUGAGGACCGAGAGGACUGUGUGUCAGCCAACACCUUGACUUCAGCCCAGGGAAACCCACACUGGACUGAGGACCGAGAGGACUGUGUGUCAGCCAACACCUUGACUUCAGCCCAGGGAAACCCACACUGGACUGAGGACCGAGAGGACUGUGUGUCAGCCAACACCUUGACUUCAGCCCAGGGAAACCCACACUGGACUGAGGACCGAGAGGACUAUGUGUCAGCAAUAACAGAAAAGGAGUAGAAAGGCCAUCUAUUGCGGCCCUGUAUUUAUUAUAAAUAAACUGAAUCCAAACUAAAAAUCCACCCACUGGGGAAUGGUUACUGACAGAAUAGAAAUGUUCUAUGGCUAUUACAAAGAAACAAGCUUGCAGCCAUCAGCAUGGCUAAAAGGAAGGCAGGACUUAGAACAAACAGGACUCUCCCUCUCUCCUGUGGGACAGAAACUGUGUGACUGCUUUGGAGAACGGGUUGGCAGCAUCUACACAGGCCCUACAGCCCAGCUUCCACUCCUCAGUACGUCCCAACAGCAAUGGGCACCUGUGUUGACCAAACGCGUCUGAGACUCCUCACAGGAGCCCUGUGAGAGUCACCCAACAUGGAAACCAUCCCAAAGCCCAUCUGGAGUGGAGCCAAUGCACUGCAGCCUUGACACACGGGAGACCACUCGGCGCGGGGAAGGAGGGAGCAACUGCACUCAACCACGUGGCCGAAGCUCACCCAGAAGACAUGGAAAGAAGGCAGCCGGACACAGGAGAGUUUGCCCUGUGUGGCUCCAUUGACGUGAAAACUAGACAAGGCAGAUGAGUCCACAGUGACAUGCCAGGCCGGGGGCAGAGUGUGAGAGGCCUGCAGAGGGCGAGGCUGCGAGGGCUGAUGCUUUCUCAGGCCGGCAUGCCUGUCCGCACUCACUGUAUUGCAGACUUUAAAGGGGUUUUUUUGUACACAAAUUACACCUCAAUAAAGCUGAUUAAUUAAAAGACGGAAAGCUGACAACAUCAAAUGUUGGCAAAGAUGUGGAGCACCUGGAACUCUCAUGCAUUGCUGAUGGGACUAUGAAACAAUGGGGCUGCUUGAGCAAACAGUUUUCUCUUUUGAGAUCAGGUCUCACUGUGCUGCUCAGGCUGGAGUGCAGCGGAACAAUCACGGCUCGCUGCAGCCUCCAACUCCAGGGCUCACACGAUCCUCCUGCCUCAGCCUCCUGAGUAGCUAAGACUAUUACAAGUGUGCGUCACCACACCAGGCUAAUUUAUUUAUUUUUUUGAGACAAAGUCUCACUCUGUCGCCCAGGCUGGAGUGCAGUGGCAUGAUCUCAGCUCACUCCAACCUCCGCCUCCCGGGUUCAAGUGAUUGUCCUGCCUCAGCCUCCCAAGUAACUGGGACCACAAGCACCACCACCACACCAGGCUAACUUUGUAUUUUUAGUAGAGAUACGGUUUCACCAUGUUGGCCAGGCUGGUCUCAAACUCCUGACCUCAAGUGAUCUGCCUGCCUCGGCCUCCCAAAGUGCUGAGACUACAGGCAUGAGCCACCACACCCAGCCCCAGGCUAAUUUUUCAAUAUGUUUAUAGCAACGAGUUCUCACUAUGUUGCCCAGGCUGGGCAAGCUUAUAAAUUAAAACGUACACUCAUAUAUGACAGCAAUUCCACUCUUAGAUCUACCUAAGGGAACAGAAACACCUUCAGAAAGACUCACAUAUAUUCUAGAGAAACACCUUCAGAAGGACUCACGUGUAUUCUAGAGAAACACCUUCAGAAAGACUCACAUAUAUUCUAGAGAAACACCUUCAGAAAGACUCACGUGUAUUCUAGAGAAACACCCUCAGAAGGACUCACGUGUAUUCUAGAGAAACACCUUCAGAAGGACUCACAUAUAUUCUAGAGAAACACCUUCAGAAGGACUCGUGUAUUCUAGAGAAACACCUUCAGAAGGAUUCACGUGUAUUCUAGAGAAACACCUUCAGAAGGCCUCGUGCGUAUUUGUGUUAUAGUUUAGUGCUAGUGCCACUGAACUGUAUCCCUACAUAUGGCUAAAAUGACGUGUUUUCUGUAUUUUACAAGAAAAAUAAUUAAAAAAAAAAAUUUAAAAGAACUAGCUCUGAGCCGGGUGUGGUGGUACAUGCCUGUAGUCCCAGCUGCUAGGGAGCUGCUAGGUGGGAGGAUCAGUUGAGCCCAAGAGGUAGAGGCUGCAGUGAGCUGAGAUCAUACCACUGCACUCCAGCUGGGGCAACAGAACGAGAGUCUCAAAAAAAAAAAAAAGAAAAAGAAAAAAGAAGAACUCGUUCACAUCAGCAUUAUUCGUAAUACCCCAAACCAGGAAAUAACCCAAAUGUGCAUCAACAAGGUAAAUGCAUAAACAAACUGGGGUAUAUUUGUGCAAAGGAAUACCACUUGGGAACAAAAAAAGAAGAAUCUACUAUUGUACAUCAUGAAUAAGUUUCAAAACUGCUGAGCAAAAGAAACCAGGGUCUGCUUCGUAUCCAUGAUGUCUGGAACAGGAAAAAGCAGCCCAUGUGAUGGAAGCCGACUGCUGGGGGCUGGGGGCUGACUCGGCAGGGCCUGAGGGGCUUUCUGGGAGGAGAGUGGAUGUGCUCCUGAUUUGGAUGAGGGUACUGGCUGCAUAGGUACAUAUAUGUGCCAAAACUCAUAGAACUGUACAUGCAAAGAGGGUACAUUUAUUAAAUAGACAUCAUCUCUCAAUAAAAUUGAUUUAAAAAAAUUAAACCCACAGGGCAUUGAUCUGCUUUGAAUUUGGAGGUCUAAGGAUUAGGGGACCGGAUUACCCUACAAGACAGCCUGAACACAUAUCAGAGCCAGAUGUGAAGGCACUGCCUGUCCCUGAAGACCUGGGGCUCUAAGUCAUUCACGUGCGGGGCCGGCGCUCCGCAUUCAAUCUUCCGGCAUACCACUCCCCUCGGAUGUCUUCUGAGACAAGGACAGCCCACGUCCACCAACCCCACUGCAGGCAAACCGGCGCCUGCCUGAUGGAGGACAGUAAAGGAAGGAAAAGUUAUCUAACAAAUUUCAAAUGUGUCUGUGUACACCAGCAUGCCAAAUGUCAGAAGAAAUUCUAGGGCAGUUUGUGGACUGGUUUCCUGCGAAGCUAGAGCUUUUACUUAACGCCUUAAAACCCACAACAAGCCAAAAGGGCUCUCGUGUCUACAAAGAGCAGGCACACUUGGCACAGAACACCUGGCUAAACACAGAACAUUAAGAAAACAAAAAACACAGGUCUGGCCCCAGCUACUCAGGAGGCUGAGGCAGGAGGAUUGCUUCAGCGCCACGGUUCAAGACCAGCCUGGGCAACACAGUGAGACCCUAUCUCUUAAAAUUCUCCUCUCCCAUCUUUUAAGGAGCAGAUCCCAUAGCUCUCAGAUUACUUUCAAUGAUUACAAAUCCAGCUUAGUGUGGCUUAAACCCCAAUCUCAUGUCCACUUUAAGACUCAUUUCUGGCUGUGCUUGGUGGCUAACACCUGUCAUCUCGACACUUUGGGAGGCCAAGGUGAGAGAAUCACUUGAGCCCAGGAGUUCAAGACCACUAGCCUAGGCAACAUGGCAAGACCUCAAUUCUACAAAAAAUAAUUUAUUGGCCAGGCACAGUGGCUCACGCCUGUAAUCCCAGCACUUUGGGAGGCCGAGGUGGGUGGA
rnacentral:lncRNA from 1 species